UACGUAGGGUGCGAGCGUUAAUCGGAAUUACUGGGCGUAAAGCGUGCGCAGGCGGUUAUGUAAGACAGGUGUGAAAUCCCCGGGCUUAACCUGGGAACUGCAUUUGUGACUGCAUAGCUAGAGUACGGUAGAGGGGGAUGGAAUUCCGCGUGUAGCAGUGAAAUGCGUAGAUAUGCGGAGGAACACCGAUGGCGAAGGCAAUCCCCUGGACCUGUACUGACGCUCAUGCACGAAAGGCGUGGGGAGCAAACAGG
rnacentral:rRNA from 1 species